UACGAAGGGGGCUAGCGUUGCUCGGAAUCACUGGGCGUAAAGCGCACGUAGGCGGAUCGUUAAGUCAGGGGUGAAAUCCUGGAGCUCAACUCCAGAACUGCCUUUGAUACUGGCGACCUUGAGUUCGGGAGAGGUGAGUGGAACUGCGAGUGUAGAGGUGAAAUUCGUAGAUAUUCGGAGGAACACCAGUGGCGAAGGCGGCUCACUGGUCCAUUACUGACGCUGAGGUGCGAAAGCGUGGGGAGCAAACAGG
rnacentral:rRNA from 1 species